rnacentral:rRNA from 1 species
UACGUAGGGUCCGAGCGUUGUCCGGAAUUAUUGGGCGUAAAGGGCUCGUAGGCGGUCUGUUGCGUCGGGAGUGAAAAUUCACAGCUUAACUGUGAACUUGCUUCCGAUACGGGCAGACUUGAGGUAUUCAGGGGAGAACGGAAUUCCUGGUGUAGCGGUGAAAUGCGCAGAUAUCAGGAAGAACACCCGUGGCGAAGGCGGCUCUCUGGGACGGUACUGACGCUGAGACGCGAAAGCGUGGGGAGCGAACAGG